AUAAUUAUUUAAGAACAGGUGUCAUUAACAUAAGAUUAAUUGUCAAACUCAUUAGAAAAAGAACAAAAUGGAAUAUUAUUAUCACAUAAAAUCAGGAAAAUAUUAGAAGAAAAAUAGUAUAUGUUCCUGCUGGUAUCUUAAAGAGAAAGAAGAAUACUGGUUAAUUCAAAAAAGCAAAUAGCAAGGAAGCCGUAAGGUUGAAGAUAUAUUUCAAAACAGAAUCCUAGUUAUAACCGGACUUAGCUCUCUAUGAAAUGAUAAGAUGCUCUUAUAAAAAGGCUUGAUGCCACAGCAUUCUUCCUCUCCAAUGGAUGCAGCCCUUACCAGACAACUGAACCUGCUGGCACCUUAAUCUUGGAUUCUCAACCUCCAGAAGUAUGAGAAAAUAAUUUUCUGCUCUUCAUACAUGACCCAGUCUCAGUGGUUACCAGGCUUCAUUUCGGUUGCUGUCGCCUCUGGACCCCAUCGCCCCUGUUGAGAUCAAGAAUCCCAUUUCAAAGGAAACAUGCUUCAUCUUCUUGGCCUACCAAAUCAGAAAAAAAUCUUCAAAUUCAGAUGGAGCCACAAGGAUCCUUGAACAGACAAAACAAUUUUGAGGAAGAAGAACAAAGCUGAAGGCCUCACUUCUCUGUUUUAAAAUGUAUUGCAAAGUAACAAUAAGUAAAACAAUAUGGUACUGGCAUAAAGACAGAAAUAUACACCAAUGGAACAGAAUAAAGAUCCCAGAGAUAAACACACACAGUUAACUGGUUUUCAAUAAGGGUACCAAGAAUAUACAAUGAGGGAAAGAUGGUCUCUUUUACAAAUAGUGUUGGGAAAACUAGAUAUACACAUGCAAAAG